rnacentral:tRNA from 1 species
GCCUAAAUAGUUUAAUUAGAAUUAUAAUUUGUGGUAUUAUAGGUGUAUAUAAAUACUUUGGGUU